rnacentral:tRNA from 1 species
GGAGGGUUAGCGUAAAGGUAGCGCGGGAGACUUUGACUCUCUUGGUAAUAGUUCGACUCUAUUACCCUCCGCCA